AGUGAACGCUGGCGGUAGGCCUAACACAUGCAAGUCGAACGGCAGCACAGUAAGAGCUUGCUCUUACGGGUGGCGAGUGGCGGACGGGUGAGGAAUACAUCGGAAGCUACUUUUUCGUGGGGGAUAACGUAGGGAAACUUACGCUAAUACCGCAUACGACCUACGGGUGAAAGCAGGGGAUCUUCGGACCUUGCGCGAGUGAAUGAGCCGAUGUCGGAUUAGCUAGUUGGCGGGGUAAAGGCCCACCAAGGCGACGAUCCGUAGCUGGUCUGAGAGGAUGAUCAGCCACACUGGAACUGAGACACGGUCCAGACUCCUACGGGAGGCAGCAGUGGGGAAUAUUGGACAAUGGGCGAAAGCCUGAUCCAGCCAUACCGCGUGUGUGAAGAAGGCCUUCGGGUUGUAAAGCCCUUUUGUUGGGAAAGAAAAGCAGCAGGUUAAUACCACGCUUUUCUGACGGUACCCAAAGAAUAAGCACCGGCUAACUUCGUG
rnacentral:rRNA from 1 species